rnacentral:rRNA from 1 species
GAACGCUGGCGGCGUGCUUAACACAUGCAAGUCGAACGAUGAAGCCCAGCUUGCUGGGUGGAUUAGUGGCGAACGGGUGAGUAACACGUGAGUAACCUGCCCUGGACUCUGGGAUAAGCGUUGGAAACGACGUCUAAUACCGGAUAGGACCCUGGACCGCAUGGUUUGGGGUGGAAAGUUUUUUCGGUCUGGGAUGGACUCGCGGCCUAUCAGCUUGUUGGUGAGGUAAUGGCUCACCAAGGCGUCGACGGGUAGCCGGCCUGAGAGGGUGACCGGCCACACUGGGACUGAGACACGGCCCAGACUCCUACGGGAGGCAGCAGUGGGGAAUAUUGCACAAUGGGCGAAAGCCUGAUGCAGCAACGCCGCGUGCGGGAUGACGGCCUUCGGGUUGUAAACCGCUUUUAGUAAGGAAGAAGGGGAGCUUGCUCCUUGACGGUACUUGCAGAAAAAGGACCGGCUAACUACGUGCCAGCAGCCGCGGUAAUACGUAGGGUCCGAGCGUUGUCCGGAAUUAUUGGGCGUAAAGAGCUCGUAGGCGGUUUGUCGCGUCUGCUGUGAAAUCUGGAGGCUCAACCUCCAGCCUGCAGUGGGUACGGGCAGACUAGAGUGCGGUAGGGGAGAAUGGAAUUCCUGGUGUAGCGGUGGAAUGCGCAGAUAUCAGGAGGAACACCGAUGGCGAAGGCAGUUCUCUGGGCCGUAACUGACGCUGAGGAGCGAAAGCGUGGGGAGCGAACAGGAUUAGAUACCCUGGUAGUCCACGCCGUAAACGUUGGGCGCUAGAUGUGGGGACCUUUCCA